rnacentral:rRNA from 1 species
GACGAACGCUGGCGGCGUGCCUAAUACAUGCAAGUCGAACGCAAUGGGGACGGGUGAGUAACACGUGGGUAACCUCCCAUCAGAGGGGAUAACACUUGGAAACAGGUGCUAAACCGAUACUGAUGGAUGGACCCGCGGUGCAUUAGCCAGUUGGUGAGGUAACGGCUCACCAAGGCCACGAUGAAUAGUGUACCUGUGAGGGUGAUGUGCAACUCGGGGACUGCGACACGGCCCAGACGCCUACGGGCGGCAGCAGCAGGGAAUCUACGGCAAUGGACGAAAGUCUGACCGAGCAACGGCGUGAGAGUGAAGAAUGGUUGCGGAUCGUAAUACUCUGGUGUUAGAGAAGCGGUAUCUAAUCAGAAAGCCACGGCUAACUACGUGCCAGCCGCCGCGGUAAUUC